GUAGGUGAACCUGCGGAAGGAUCAUUACUGAUUUGCUUAAUUGCACCACAUGUGUUUUUCUUUGAAACAAACUUGCUUUGGCGGUGGGCCCAGCCUGCCGCCAGAGGUCUAAACUUACAACCAAUUUUUUAUCAACUUGUCACACCAGAUUAUUACUAAUAGUCAAAACUUUCAACAACGGAUCUCUUGGUUCUCGCAUCGAUGAAGAACGCAGCGAAAUGCGAUACGUAAUAUGAAUUGCAGAUAUUCGUGAAUCAUCGAAUCUUUGAACGCACAUUGCGCCCUCUGGUAUUCCGGAGGGCAUGCCUGUUUGAGCGUCGUUUCUCCCUCAAACCGCUGGGUUUGGUGUUGAGCAAUACGACUUGGGUUUGCUUGAAAGACGGUAGUGGUAAGGCGGGAUCGCUUUGACAAUGGCUUAGGUCUAACCAAAAACAUUGUUUGCGGCGGUAACGUCCACCACGUAUAUCUUCAAACUUUGACCUCAAAUCAGGUAGGACUACCCGCUGAACUUAAGCAUAUCAAUAAGCGGAGGAAA
rnacentral:rRNA from 1 species